GACGAACGCUGGCUGCGUGCUUAACACAUGCAAGUCGAACGCUGAAGCCUGGUGCUUGCACCGGGUGGAUGAGUGGCGAACGGGUGAGUAACACGUGAGUAACCUGCCCCUGACUUCGGGAUAAGCCCGGGAAACUGGGUCUAAUACCGGAUACGACCGUCGGACGCAUGGCUGGUGGUGGAAAGUUUUUUCGGUUGGGGAUGGGCUCGCGGCCUAUCAGUUUGUUGGUGAGGUAAUGGCUCACCAAGACGACGACGGGUAGCCGGCCUGAGAGGGCGACCGGCCACACUGGGACUGAGACACGGCCCAGACUCCUACGGGAGGCAGCAGUGGGGAAUAUUGCACAAUGGGGGAAACCCUGAUGCAGCGACGCAGCGUGCGGGAUGACGGCCUUCGGGUUGUAAACCGCUUUCAGCAGGGAAGAAGCGAAAGUGACGGUACCUGCAGAAGAAGUACCGGCUAACUACGUGCCAGCCGCCGCAGUAACAC
rnacentral:rRNA from 1 species